GUCCAAAGAGCAAAUCAAGCACUAGAUGAAAGAAACCAUAAGAUACAGCAACAGUACAUACAUCUUAGGCAACAGAUGUCAUGGGAUGGGUAAAUGGUCUGUGAAGCACAGCAUUUCAUAACAAUAUAUCUAGCUCUUACAUAGCGCUUUCCAGUAGAUCUCUAAUCACGUCAAGGAUAAAAUUACUGGCCUCUCCUCCAUUUUACAGACCACUGAACAGACACUGGGAGGACAGUAACUUGCUUCAAUGUCACUCAGAGCACAAGCAAGCUCAAGAGAGAAUCCAAGGCUCAUUAGUCCCAUAGUGCUGUUUUCACUAAGCCAAAUUAUUCUCGUUUCUCCCCUUGCAAGAAGAGCACCAGUUGCAGAUGCCUGAAUUAGCAAUUAUAGAACAGAUGCAAUUUAAAACGGGUCUUGUGUUUAAGUCCGGUCACUACCAUGCGUGGUACAAACCAGAUACAGCAAUGAAAGGAAGAUAUGGAAGUUAUAACAGUAAAAGUUGCAAAACUAAAAAUUCACCUCAUUUUUUCUUAUGCUGUGUGGUUCAGCAAUCAUAUAUCCAUAAGAGGGGGGUAUAAAAUAUACUCUGAAGUGCAGUCUAAUCAGGAGUAGAAGCAGGAUGCACCAGUCAGUAUACAUCCUUGCAGGAUUUUUGCUGUUAACUCCUGUUACUAUACAAAGUAACAUCCAGGCUCUGUGUAAGUUCUACUUUUCCCCCCACAUUAUCAAUUUUCCAACUAAUCCCUCCCCUUCCCUCCUCAUUCAGGCCCCCUAUCUCCUACCUUGAUAACUGUAGGCCACUUUUCCUGCGCCAUUUAUCCUGCCAAAAUCCAUAUCCCACCCCAACCUGUUCAAAACACAGCUAAGGAGACCUUCCUGGUCAUUUACCUGAAUCAUGUAAAUCCAACUCCUCUCAAAAUGCUUCCAUCGCAUCAAAUUCAAGCUUUGCAUUCUGUUUUCCAAGAACCCUCACAGCUUUGCACCUCCUUUGGGUGUAUACUGACACAGAAGUAGUACAGGGAUUUUACUUUGCAGUAUACUGACUCCAUAGUAAGGAGUGGACACAGGAACAGCUCUCCAAGUUGGUUACCUGCAGCAGGGGCUAUUACAGUGCCUGGCCAGGGAAGUUGGUUUGCGCUGAGCAAAUCAGUGACACAGUUUUCAUGGCUUGUGCACUGUAGUAAAGUGAAGUUACACAGCAUCAUGCAUAUUACAUGUACAUCCCUUGGGUGUGUCCAUCACCUCAGUCUUUGUUUCUUUAUCUCAAUAUGCUCCUUAUGCAGACCACACACCUGAACUAAUCUUAAACAUGCCCACCCUCUUCAAAUCCCA